rnacentral:rRNA from 1 species
UGGGGAAUAUUGCACAAUGGGCGCAAGCCUGAUGCAGCCAUGCCGCGUGUAUGAAGAAGGCCUUCGGGUUGUAAAGUACUUUCAGCGAGGAGGAAGGCGUUGUGGUUAAUAACCGCAACGAUUGACGUUACUCGCAGAAGAAGCACCGGCUAACUCCGUGCCAGCAGCCGCGGUAAUACGGAGGGUGCCAGCGUUAAUCGGAAUUACUGGGCGUAAAGCGCACGCAGGCGGUCUGUCAAGUCGGAUGUGAAAUCCCCGGGCUCAACCUGGGAACUGCAUCCGAAACUGGCAGGCUAGAGUCUUGUAGAGGGGGGUAGAAUUCCAGGUGUAGCGGUGAAAUGCGUAGAGAUCUGGAGGAAUACCGGUGGCGAAGGCGGCCCCCUGGACAAAGACUGUCGCUCAGGUGCGAAAGCGUGGGGAGCAAACA